GAAACUCAAAGGAAUUGACGGGGACCCGCACAAGUAGCGGAGCAUGUGGUUUAAUUCGAAGCAACGCGAAGAACCUUACCUAAGCUUGACAUCCCAAUGAUAUCUCCUUAAUCGGAGAGUUCCCUUCGGGGACAUUGGUGACAGGUGGUGCAUGGUUGUCGUCAGCUCGUGUCGUGAGAUGUUGGGUUAAGUCCCGCAACG
rnacentral:rRNA from 1 species